AGCGCAACCCUUAUUGUUAGUUGCUACUAUUAAGUUAAGCACUCUAACGAGACUGCCGCGGUUAACGUGGAGGAAGGUGGGGAUGACGUCAAAUCAUCAUGCCCCUUAUGUCUAGGGCUACACACGUGCUACAAUGGCUGGUACAACGAGCAGCAAACCCGCGAGGGGGAGCAAAACUUGAAAGCCAGUCCCAGUUCGGAUUGUAGGCUGAAACUCGCCUACAUGAAGUUGGAGUUGCUAGUAAUCGCGAAUCAGCAUGUCGCGGUGAAUACGUUCCCGGGUCUUGUACACACCGCCCGUCACACCAUGAGAGCCGGUAACACCCGAAGCCCGUGAGGUAACCGUAAGGAGCCAGCGGUCGAAGGUGGGAUUGGUGAUUGGGGGGAAGUCGUAACAAGGUAGCCGUAGGAGAACCUGCGGCUGGAUCACCUCCUUUCUAGGGA
rnacentral:rRNA from 1 species